ACUUUGGUGGCCUAGUGGUUAGAGCGUCCUUCUCGGAUGUGGGAGGUCGUGGUUUCAAACCCUGGCCUGAUGUC